GACGAACGCUGGCGGCGUGCUUAACACAUGCAAGUCGAACGGAAAGGCCCUGCUUUUGUGGGGUGCUCGAGUGGCGAACGGGUGAGUAACACGUGAGUAACCUGCCCUUGACUUUGGGAUAACUUCAGGAAACUGGGGCUAAUACCGGAUAGGAGCUCCUGCUGCAUGGUGGGGGUUGGAAAGUUUCGGCGGUUGGGGAUGGACUCGCGGCUUAUCAGCUUGUUGGUGGGGUAGUGGCUUACCAAGGCUUUGACGGGUAGCCGGCCUGAGAGGGUGACCGGCCACAUUGGGACUGAGAUACGGCCCAGACUCCUACGGGAGGCAGCAGUGGGGGAUAUUGCACAAUGGGCGGAAGCCUGAUGCAGCAACGCCGCGUGCGGGAUGACGGCCUUCGGGUUGUAAACCGCUUUCGCCUGUGACGAAGCGUGAGUGACGGUAAUGGGUAAAGAAGCACCGGCUAACUACGUGCCAGCAGCCGCGGUGAUACGUAGGGUGCGAGCGUUGUCCGGAUUUAUUGGGCGUAAAGGGCUCGUAGGUGGUUGAUCGCGUCGGAAGUGUAAUCUUGGGGCUUAACCCUGAGCGUGCUUUCGAUACGGGUUGACUUGAGGAAGGUAGGGGAGAAUGGAAUUCCUGGUGGAGCGGUGGAAUGCGCAGAUAUCAGGAGGAACACCAGUGGCGAAGGCGGUUCUCUGGGCCUUUCCUGACGCUGAGGAGCGAAAGCGUGGGGAGCGAACAGGCUUAGAUACCCUGGUAGUCCACGCUGUAAACGGUGGGUACUAGGUGUGGGGUCCAUUCCACGGGUUCCGUGCCGUAGCUAACGCUUUAAGUACCCCGCCUGGGGAGUACGGCCGCAUGGCUAAAACUCAAAGGAAUUGACGGGGCCCCGCACAAGCGGCGGAGCAUGCGGAUUAAUUCGAUGCAACGCGUAGAACCUUACCUGGGUUUGACAUGGAUCGGGAGUGCUCAGAGAUGGGUGUGCCUCUUUUGGGGUCGGUUCACAGGUGGUGCAUGGCUGUCGUCAGCUCGUGUCGUGAGAUGUUGGGUUAAGUCCCGCAACGAGCGCAACCCUUGUUCACUGUUGCCAGCACGUUAUGGUGGGGACUCAGUGGAGACCGCCGGGGUCAACUCGGAGGAAGGUGGGGAUGACGUCAAGUCAUCAUGCCCCUUAUGUCCAGGGCUUCACGCAUGCUACAAUGGCUGGUACAGAGAGUGGCGAGCCUGUGAGGGUGAGCGAAUCUCGGAAAGCCGGUCUCAGUUCGGAUUGGGGUCUGCAACUCGACCUCAUGAAGUCGGAGUCGCUAGUAAUCGCAGAUCAGCAACGCUGCGGUGAAUACGUUCCCGGGGCU
rnacentral:rRNA from 1 species